AAAAUCCGUCGACUUUAUAAGUCGUGAGGGUUCA
rnacentral:tRNA from 1 species